UGCCAGCAGCCGCGGUAAUACGUAGGGGGCAAGCGUUGUCCGGAAUUAUUGGGCGUAAAGCGCGCGCAGGCGGUCUUUUAAGUUUGGUGUUUAAGCCCGGGGCUCAACCCCGGUUCGCACUGAAAACUGGGAGACUUGAGUGCAGGAGAGGAAAGCGGAAUUCCACGUGUAGCGGUGAAAUGCUAAGAUGUGGAGGAACACCAGUGGCGAAGGCGGCUUUCUGGACUGUAACUGACGCUGAGGCGCGAAAGCGUGGGGAGCAAACAGGAUUAGAAACCC
rnacentral:rRNA from 1 species